rnacentral:tRNA from 19 species
CCCUUAAAAGUCCCGACAGCA